rnacentral:lncRNA from 1 species
GAUGACACUCGUAUUCACAUAUACUCUAAAGCAGCACUUUUGGAACAUGCGUAAAGAUAUUAGAGCUAAUUGAGUUGAUUUAUACACCUUUACAUCCAAUGUGAGGCAAUAACUCAGGUCAUCAAACUUUUAGCAUUGUGUUUUGGUAUAAGCAUUGGAACAUUGGGCUACUUUAACAGGCAACCAUUAUCUAAGUGCAAGUUCCCAAAUUGUAUUAAGGAAAAGUUUACUGUAUUCUUUGCAUAGAAGAUUCGUAUUUCUUAUGAUGAUCAUUUCCCAAUCUUCAUCCAAAAGGACAAAGUGCCAUGAUUCUUUUGUAGGAUGUGUAACUUAAGGACUCGAGGUUAUGCUCUCUUGCUUUAUCAUUCAUCUUACUCAAGCCAUGAACUCCUGCUUAUCUAGACUUCUCAUGAAAUUCUUUAAUAAUAAAGGCCUUAAAACUUAGCAGAACUGAAGUUAUAGGUUUCAUAUAUCUUAUGAAGAUAGGGUUUGACUGUUUAGUAAUUAUUCUAUUCACAUGUCAUGCCUCUUAAUGGACUAUAGAAAAAAUAAAAUAUGCAUGUCUUUACUGUGAUCUUGAUCAGCUAGAUAACAUGGCCACUAUGAAAUGCCAUGUGAUGUAUACAUUGAAAUAAAAAAAAGGAAAAUUUGCUUUACUUAUCACUUUCUUGCAGUUU